rnacentral:rRNA from 1 species
AUUGAACGCUGGCGGCAGGCCUCACACAUGCAAGUCGAGCGAGCGGCGGACGGGUGAGUAAUGUAUGGGGACUGCCCGAUAGAGGGGGAUAACUACUGGAAACGGUAGCUAAUACCGCAUACUAUCGGAUAACCCAUAUGGGAUUAGCUAGUAGGUGAGGUAAUGGCGCACCUAGGCGACGAACCCGAGCUGGUCUGAGAGGAUGAUCAGCCCCACUGGGACUUAGACACGGCCCAGCCUCCUACGGAGGCAGCAGUGGGGAAUAUUGCACAAUGGUCGCCAGCCUGCUGCAGCACUGCCGCGUGUAUGAAGAAGGCCCUAGGGUUGUAAAGUCCUUUCAGUCGGGAGGCGUUACCGACAGAAGAAGCACCGGCUAACUCCGUGCCAGCAGCCGCGGUAAUUC